rfam:Gossypium raimondii Chr10_contig_49, whole genome shotgun sequence.
UGUUAGUAAUUUUAUCCAUUUAUAUUAUUAAAAACUAGCGUGACUAAUGGGAUAAUCAAACAAUGGCAUGACAUGCCACUUAUACCUCAUGUUGAUGUAUGAUGAUUAGUUUUUAACUGUAAAAAUAGAUGAAAUUUUUAAUA